rfam:Ictidomys tridecemlineatus contig103463, whole genome shotgun sequence.
GGGAGUGUAGCUCAGUGUUAGAGCGUUUGCCUAGCAUGCUUCAGGCCCUGGAUUCAAUCUCCACCACCCCCC